AUGCAAGACUAAUUCACGGACAAUCCAACAUAUCUGCCUCACCUCUUCCGGAGAAGGUACUGAAUGCGCCAAUCUCUCUUUGUAAAAAUAGUUCAAGCUUGCGAAGCCAAUUGUCGGUAUUUUACUCAAAGAAGAAAUGUCGCGGGGUUGAAGGGAGUUAGUGCAUAUCAAAAAAUCUCGGCAACUAUGCGAGUAAUUGCAUACGGCAUUCUGGAUGACUAUGCCCAUGAGUAG
rnacentral:rRNA from 1 species